rnacentral:lncRNA from 1 species
GAUUGAUGGAGCUUCCGGAAGUCUUGGCGGCUGUACCAGCGCUAAUGUUCCUCCUUUUCCUGAGGUGGAGUGGGCCGAAGAGGUGGUCAGGUUGGGAAAUUUAGUGAGAAGCCUGGGUGGGGUGUUGCUGCGGUAGCCAUGUUAUAACCUGGCAAAUGGGACGCAUGAUAGUGACGUAAUUGCUGGAGUAGCUCCUGAGUUUCCGCAGAUGAGCCGCGGGAAAGGAGACGAGGGGCGGUGGCCAGGCGGUUGCCCUGACAACGGGGAACCGACCGACUCUUCCCGGUAGGGAGAGGCGAUGGCGGAAUUACUCCUCUAAUGUCAAGGUAUUCUAAUCACAGAAUUACUGGAGCAUCAAGAAGUGCCUGCAUGCUUGGAAGGGCUUCCAGGCAGAUGAACACACCUCAGCACCGGGUGGCAUUUUCCCAGGGUGCAACCCGGACCGGCUCUGGGUCACACUGACAAGUGCACCCCUCCUGAGCUGAAGUGUUCCUGUUCUCUCUGCAGCCUCUCCGACUCCCCAGGCUGGGUUGGGUGCUCCUCCCUCUCAUCCCACAGCGCUAUGUCUCAUGUCUUCUGGAAAACUUGCCAAUCCCUAGUGUAAGUGUGACUGGUCUAUUGUGAGCACCUAUUGUUCAGGGACCUCUGUUUACCUGAGGCCAGGACAAGGGCCUGGAAUGUGAGCAGGAGCAAGGGAGUGCUCGGGAAAUGGAAACAAUGAAUGAAUCAAUCAGUCAAUCAUCUCCUGGGGUGGAAGUGUCCAGCACAGAGACUGCCACACUGCAAGACGAAGGGGCUGGACACACGGAAGAGAGAGGCGGAACCCUGCACCCCCUCAACCUCAGCCCUACUGAGUCUCCAAUGGGGCCACGCUUCUGAGUGCACCUCCCCGUGUCAUCUGUAAUGUGAGGGGGAACCAGGCUUGAUAUGGCAUUCCCAAUCCAGGGCCUCUGGACCCCUUGAGAUGCAUAAAAAUAGUGAUGGGGGCCUGAGAGUUCUUUUUUUUUUUUUUUUUUUUUGGUCAUGAACUAUUUUUAACAUUUCCGAAAGCCUCCUGGAAAUUAUUAUGCAGCCAGCCACAACAGGGCUGCAACAAAAUGCCAGUAUCUUCGCUUUUCUCUGGAGUCCCAUCAGCUCAGUGCCGUCACACUGAUCAAAGGCACUGCCUGGCAGUCAUCUAUGUUAGUGAUGAGUAAAGUAGACAGGAAAUUCA